GAUGAACGCUGGCGGCGUGCCUAAUACAUGCAAGUCGAGCGAACAGACGAGGAGCUUGCUCCUCUGACGUUAGCGGCGGACGGGUGAGUAACACGUGGAUAACCUACCUAUAAGACUGGGAUAACUUCGGGAAACCGGAGCUAAUACCGGAUAAUAUAUUGAACCGCAUGGUUCAAUAGUGAAAGACGGUUUUGCUGUCACUUAUAGAUGGAUCCGCGCCGCAUUAGCUAGUUGGUAAGGUAACGGCUUACCAAGGCAACGAUGCGUAGCCGACCUGAGAGGGUGAACGGCCACACGGGAUCUGAGACACGGUCCAGACUCCUACGGGAGGCAGCAGUAGGGAAUCUUCCGCAAUGGGCGAAAGCCUGACGGAGCAACGCCGCGUGAGUGAUGAAGGUCUUCGGAUCGUAAAACUCUGUUAUUAGGGAAGAACAAAUGUGUAAGUAACUAUGCACGUCUUGACGGUACCUAAUCAGAAAGCCACGGCUAACUACGUG
rnacentral:rRNA from 1 species